UACGAAGGGGGCUAGCGUUGCUCGGAAUCACUGGGCGUAAAGGGCGCGUAGGCGGCGUUUUAAGUCGGGGGUGAAAGCCUGUGGCUCAACCACAGAAUGGCCUCGAUACUGGGACGCUUGAGUAUGGUAGAGGUUGGUGGAACUGCGAGUGUAGAGGUGAAAUUCGUAGAUAUUCGCAAGAACACCGGUGGCGAAGGCGGCCAACUGGACCGAUUAC
rnacentral:rRNA from 1 species